rfam:Glycine soja cultivar W05 scaffold975_77, whole genome shotgun sequence.
AUUGUUCACUCUCCCUCAAGGGCUUCUCGCUUUAACAUCCAAGAACAAGACUAGAGGCCCUUGGGGAGGAGUAAAUAA